rnacentral:lncRNA from 1 species
UAGAGCAACUAUUUAUACUAAAAAAACGAAAAACCUAAUCAAACUAGGAAAACGAGAAAAUUACCAAAAAAAAAGGAAAAACCUAAUCAAACUAGGAAAACGAGAAAAUUACCAAAAAUAAAAAUAAAAUAACUCCUAAACCUAAUAGAAUACCGAAAGUUGGAAACAACCCAACUUGCGGAAUUCAAAUCCUAAUCAAACUAGAAUUCCGACUCCGCCACCUCUGCAUCAAUCCCUUCUUC